rnacentral:piRNA from 1 species
UGGACAAGCUUAUUGUAGAUGGCAGA